rnacentral:piRNA from 1 species
UCUGGGGGAUGAGACCCAUGAGCUGGUCU